GCAGAGCCUUGUCGUCUCUGCUGGGUCGAGCCAUCACUACUGAUUCAUAUUGGUAGUUUACUAUUGAACUGGACUGCUGGCAUCCUGACAAUGAAAAAUGGAAUCGCCCCAAGAAAUUAUUUCUAAACAGGUAUUUGCCAAGUUUGGACUUUAUUCUUUAGUAAUAAGGAGCAAUUCUGAUUCCAUGUGGGGGGAGGAAACUGGAAGAUUCACAGGAACAGGUAAUGAAGAUGAAUGGUUCUGGCUGUUGUUUCUCACGAUUAACUCAUGGAGUUUGCUGGUUGUGGAGGGGAUCCAGCAAGGAGCCGGUCUGAUAGCUCAAAACAAAGAGGUGCAUCCAUGCCAAGCACGGUGCUACAUGCAUGCCCAUCCCAGCACUGAGAGCUGGAGCAAGAACAUGGCGAGUUUGAGGACAGCCUGGACCUCCUAUCCCAGAAAGGCUGGAAAUAGUGGGAUAGGGGGACCCAAACCACGGAUGGUCUGAAAAACAAGAUGGAAGCAGAUUGCCUCCCUUUAAAAUGGUCGCUAUGGGAACCCCAAA
ensembl:lincRNA Gm31363 predicted gene, 31363